CUAGUUAUUAUUAAUACUAUUUUUUGUUAAUUUCUAUGGCUUUUCCUUCAAUGGCAACUAGCUUAAAGAUUUUCAGUCAUUUCUAUUUUGUGAUGUAUAAUUAUUUACAGUUACAUCUUUUACGAUUUUAUUAGAAGCUGAAAUACUUUUUCAGACUUAAAAAGGCGCGUUAGUUGUACAACUAACUAAUUAUACAAUUGUAUAGUGGAACAAAGCGUUGGUUUGGCAGCGGAAAAACAAACUUCGCGUUUGUUAAAUACUUCGCAUUUGAUUGCUCGUAAACGUUGCUUAAAAAGCACCGCAAAGAUUGUUGUAAAAGUUCCCGAAAUUAAUGGAAUUCCUUAAAUAUCGUCGGAAAUCAUUAUGCAUUUUGUCCGACUAAAAAAAGUGGGUUGAAUAAAGAAAUCUAACGAAAACAAUUUCAUUUAGUUUUUAUUUUAUGUAACAAUGACGACGACAUGCAUGUGCGGCGAAUAUAAAAUGUUAAGCAUUGAUACUAUGGUUUUAUCAUCAACAAUAAACAAAUUUCUUAAAUAAUCCGAACUAGCUAAGCAAUCUUAUUUUAUGUAUUUUUGUUCUUGGAGUACAAAAAUGUAUUUAAAAUAUGUAUUAUUAUAAUUUAAUUUAU